AUGUUGUGAUGGGGACACUUUCUCAACAAUUCUUUAAACCUCUUCCAUGCAUCAUAUAAUGACUCCCCCUCAUUCUGGAAAAAGAUAUUGAUCUCUCCUCUAAACUU